rnacentral:misc_RNA from 1 species
UACACAAUAAACAUAUGAUAGGCUGCACCGCCACAACAGGCGGCAAGGACUGGAGUAUUUUAUAUUACCCUAUUGUCUUUUGCGCACAUUGUUGAUUUCCUUGGGCUGGGUUAUCGCACCUGCCUCCAGGUACCACAUGAUAAUAACCUUUUUUAUGACAGUUGCAAUCAGCGUCAGUAUCAACACAAAUGUAAAUCAUUUUA